CUUUUCCGAGCAGGUGUCAGGGCAGAAACCAACAAAGGUCAUGCUUCACCCCUUCCUCCAUCUGCUGCACCUACCACUGAUUCUACAGAUUCCAUAACAGGACAGAAUUCAAGACAGAGAGAAGAAGAGCUGGAAUUAAUAGACCAACUGCGUAAACAUAUUGAGUACCGGUUGAAAGUGUCUCUACCUUGUGAUCUCGGAGCAGCUCUAACUGACGGUGUUGUUCUUUGCCAUUUGGCCAAUCAUGUGCGACCUCGAUCUGUCCCAAGCAUUCAUGUUCCCUCACCAGCUGUACCUAAAUUAACAAUGGCGAAAUGCAGGCGAAAUGUGGAAAAUUUCCUAGAAGCUUGCAGAAAAAUUGGUGUACCUCAGGAAUUACUCAAGUUUCAAUGCGUCACUGUAGCUAAGCCAGUGAACUCCUUUGUUCUGCUGAGAAAGAGCAAGAAGAAUGAAUCUUCACAGGACUACUAGAAACUUCUUCCCAGCAAGAGCAUAAAAAGAUGGAAAGCUUCCAAUUCACGCUGCCAAGCAUAACUCUGACAGCAAUUCAACAAAGCAGCACCAAAAAAUACACCUACAGGUUAAUCUCACUUGUGGAAUAUAUAAACACAAAGUAAAAGUCUAGGCUGGCUGUGGCGGCAGGUACCUAGAAUCCCAGCUCCUUGGAGGCUGAGGUGGGAGGAUUGCUUGAGCCCAGGAGUUUAAGACCAGCCUGGGCAACACAGUGAGAACCCCUGUCUCAAAGAAAAAUUUUAAAAAUCCAUGGUAUUGAUCUUGUGUUUACCCAAGAAUGCCACAAGACAACACAAAAUAAGGGAGAGAUAAGAUAUC
rnacentral:lncRNA from 10 species